AUUGAACGCUGGCGGCAUGCCUUACACAUGCAAGUCGAACGGUAACGGGCCUUCGGGUGCCGACGAGUGGCGAACGGGUGAGUAAUGCAUCGGAACGUACCUUUCAGUGGGGGAUAACGUAGCGAAAGUUACGCUAAUACCGCAUAUUCUGUGAGCAGGAAAGCAGGGGAUCGCAAGACCUUGCGCUGAUUGAGCGGCCGAUGUCAGAUUAGCUAGUUGGUGAGGUAAAGGCUCACCAAGGCGACGAUCUGUAGCGGGUCUGAGAGGAUGAUCCGCCACACUGGAACUGAGACACGGGUCCCAGACUCCUACCGGGAGGCAGCAGUGGGGGAUUUUGGACAAUGGGGGCAACCCUGAUCCAGCCAUGCCGCGUGAGUGAAGAAGGCCUCGGGUUGU
rnacentral:rRNA from 1 species